UACAGAGGCCUCGAGCGUUAGGCGGAAUCACGGGGCUUAAAGCGUGUGUAGGCGGACUUCUAAGUACCUUGUGAAAUCCCACGGCUCACCCGUGGAACUGCUCGGUAUACUGGUCGUCUUGAGCCUUCUAGGGGCGAGUGGAACAAAUGGUGGAGCGGUGAAAUGCGUAGAUAUCAUUUGGAACGCCAAUGGUGAAAACAACUCGCUGGGGAAGUGCUGACGCUGAGACACGAAAGCCAGGGGAGCGAACGGG
rnacentral:rRNA from 1 species